rnacentral:rRNA from 1 species
UACGUACCGUCCAAACGUUAUUCGGAAUCACUGGGCUUAAAGGGCGCGUAGGCGGCCUAUCGGGUCACUUGUGAAAUCCUCCAGCUUAACUGGAGAACUGCCCUUGAUACCACUGCGGCUCGAGGAAGGAAGGGGCAAUCGGAACUGUCGGUGGAGCGGUGAAAAGCGUUGAUAUCGACAGGAACGCCGGUGGCGAAAGCGGAUUGCUGGUCCUUUUCUGACGCUGAGGCGCGAAAGCCAGGGGAGCAAACGGG